rnacentral:rRNA from 1 species
AUUGAACGCUGGCGGCCGGCCUAACACAUGCAAGUCGAACGAGUGGCGGACGGGUGAGCAAUGUAUGGGAAACUGCCUGACGGAGGGGGCUAACUACUGGAAACGUUAGCUAAUACCGCACACCAUCAGAUGUGCCCAGAUGGGAUUAGCUUGCUGGUGGGGGAACGGCUCACCAAGGCGACGAUCCCUAGCUGGUCUGAGAGGAUGACCAGCCACACUGGAACUGAGACACGGUCCAGACUCCUACGGGAGGCAGCAGUGGGGAAUAUUGCACAAUGGGCGCAAGCCUGAUGCAGCCAUGCCGCGUGUAUGAAGAAGGCCUUCGGGUUGUAAAGCACUGUCAGCGGGGAGGCGUUACCCGCAGAAGAAGCACCGGCUAACUCCGUGCCAGCAGCCGCGGUAAUUC